rnacentral:ncRNA from 1 species
CCAAUGUAUGCGAUAAUCAGAGAGUGCUGAACUAAACCUUAUGGUGCAAUGAAAGUAAGGGCUGGCAUGCACUGGCUUAGGUGGGAUCCCGGGCCAAUCUUAACCCUGGGCGCACCAUCGUGGUUAUCUUGCCCUGGCGGGAAGGUAAGGCCUGAAUGUGCGCAACAGGAACUGAAAGAUGAUGAACUCUGCCUAGGCAGGGCAAGCCAUAGGAAACUCUGGUAGAGGCCAGCAGCAGUCCUGAUGUUACAAACCGGUCGUCUGACCUGGUUAGGCUUGGCCCACCAACCCCCUCUGA